CUUACAGAGGGGGAUAACCCGUUGAAAGACGGACUAAACCGCAUACACUUGUAUUAUGCAUGAUAUUACAAGGAAAUAUUUAUAGCUGUAAGAUAGGCAUGCGUCCCAUUAGCUAGUUGGUGAGGUAACGGCUCACCAAGGCGACGAUGGGUAGGGGAACUGAGAGGUUUAUCCCCCACACUGGUACUGAGACACGGACCAGACUCUACGGGAGGCAGCAGUGAGGAAUAUUGGUCAAUGGGCGAGAGCCUGAACCAGCCAAGUCGCGUGAAGGAAGACAGUCCUAAGGAUUGUAAACUUCUUUUAUACGGGAAUAACGGGCGAUACGAGUAUUGCAUUGAAUGUACCGUAAGAAUAAGCAUCGGCUAACUCCGUGCCAGCAGCCGCGGUAAUACGGAGGAUGCGAGCGUUAUCCGGAUUUAUUGGGUUUAAAGGGUGCGUAGGUUGUUCGGUAAGUCAGCGGUGAAACCUGAGCGCUCAACGUUCAGCCUGCCGUUGAAACUGCCGGGCUUGAGUUCAGUGGCGGCAGGCGGAAUUCGUGGUGUAGCGGUGAAAUGCAUAGAUAUCACGAGGAACUCCGAUUGCGAAGGCAGCUUGCCAUACUGCGACUGACACUGAAGCACGAAGGCGUGGGUAUCAAACAGGAUUAGAUACCCUGGUAGUCCACGCAGUAAACGAUGAUUACUAGGAGUUUGCGAUAUACCGUCAAGCUUCCACAGCGAAAGCGUUAAGUAAUCCACCUGGGGAGUACGCCGGCAACGGUGAAACUCAAAGGAAUUGACGGGGGCCCGCACAAGCGGAGGAACAUGUGGUUUAAUUCGAUGAUACGCGAGGAACCUUACCCGGGAUUGAAAUGUAGAUGACGGAUGGUGAAAACCGUCUUCCCUUCGGGGCGUCUAUGUAGGUGCUGCAUGGUUGUCGUCAGCUCGUGCCGUGAGGUGUCGGCUUAAGUGCCAUAACGAGCGCAACCCACAUCGGUAGUUGCUAACAGU
rnacentral:rRNA from 1 species